rnacentral:rRNA from 1 species
AUUGAACGCUGGCGGCAUGCUUUACACAUGCAAGUCGAACGGUAACAGGCCGCAAGGUGCUGACGAGUGGCGAACGGGUGAGUAAUGCAUCGGAACGUGCCCAGUCGUGGGGGAUAACGCAGCGAAAGCUGCGCUAAUACCGCAUACGAUCUAUGGAUGAAAGCGGGGGACCGUAAGGCCUCGCGCGAUUGGAGCGGCCGAUGUCAGAUUAGGUAGUUGGUGGGGUAAAGGCUCACCAAGCCAACGAUCUGUAGCUGGUCUGAGAGGACGACCAGCCACACUGGGACUGAGACCCGGCCCAGACUCCUACGGGAGGCAGCAGUGGGGAAUUUUGGACAAUGGGCGCAAGCCUGAUCCAGCAAUGCCGCGUGCAGGAAGAAGGCCUUCGGGUUGUAAACUGCUUUUGUACGGAACGAAACGGUCUGGGUUAAUACCUCGGGCUAAUGACGGUACCGUAAGAAUAAGCACCGGCUAACUACGUGCCAGCCGCCGCAGUAAUAC